CGGACGGGUGAGUAAUGUCUGGGAAACUGCCCGAUGGAGGGGGAUAACUACUGGAAACGGUAGCUAAUACCGCAUAACGUCGCAAGACCAAAGAGGGGGACCUUCGGGCCUCUUGCCAUCGGAUGUGCCCAGAUGGGAUUAGCUAGUAGGUGGGGUAACGGCUCACCUAGGCGACGAUCCCUAGCUGGUCUGAGAGGAUGACCAGCCAUACUGGAACUGAGACACGGUCCAG
rnacentral:rRNA from 1 species